UACGAGGGGUGCAAGCGUUGCUCGGAAUUAUUGGGCGUAAAGGGCGCGUAGGCGGCUUUUCAAGUGACGGGUGAAAUCCCUCGGCUUAACCGAGGAACUGCCUGUCAGACUGGAAGGCUUGAGACCGGGAGAGGUGAGUGGAAUUCCCAGUGUAGCGGUGAAAUGCGUAGAUAUUGGGAGGAACACCAGUGGCGAAGGCGGCUCACUGGAUCGGAACUGACGCUGAGGCGCGAAAGCGUGGGGAGCAAACAGG
rnacentral:rRNA from 1 species